rnacentral:rRNA from 1 species
GAUGAACGCUGGCGGCGUGCCUAAUACAUGCAAGUCGAGCGAACAGACGAGGAUCUUGCUCCUCUGACGUUAGCGGCGGACGGGUGAGUAACACGUGGAUAACCUACCUAUAAGACUGGGAUAACUUCGCGAAACCGGAUCUAAUACCGGAUAAUAUAUUGAACCGCAUGGUUCAAUAGUGAAAGACGGUUUUGCUGUCACUUAUAGAUGGAUCCGCGCCGCAUUAGCUAGUUGGUAAGGUAACGGCUUACCAAGGCGACGAUGCGUAGCCGACCUGAGAGGGUGAUCGGCCACACUGGAACUGAGACACGGUCCAGACUCCUACGGGAGGCAGCAGUAGGGAAUCUUCCGCAAUGGGCGAAAGCCUGACGGAGCAACGCCGCGUGAGUGAUGAAGGUCUUCGGAUCGUAAAACUCUGUUAUUAGGGAAGAACAAAUGUGUAAGUAAAUAUGCACGUCUUGACGGUACCUAAUCAGAAAGCCACGGCUAACUACGUG